rnacentral:lncRNA from 1 species
GCACCGUCAACAGCGAGUUCCGCUUCCUCGGGCCGCUCUUGCCCUGCUUCCCCGCCGGGCUGCCGCAGGGCGCGGCCGAGCAGCGGAGCUCGCUCUGCUCGGCCGGCCUCGGGCAAGAAGAAGGCGACUGGGCUGUGCAGGGCCGAGCUCCCCUCUCUGAAGGCACGGCUCCCGGGGCAGCAGAGGAGAAUGCCAGUUUGGAUCAAUGCCCCUGGCUCAGCCAUCAGUAAGGGAGGAGAAGGAGCAGCAUCUUGGUCUUCAUGGGCUGAUAUCUUCGAAGUGAAAUGAAGGAGAGACCAAACACGCACCAAAAAUGUACCAGGGAAAUGCAUUACUGCUCUGUGAGAGUGCAUGGACACUCCUCUUAACCAGUACUUCAUGUACUGAUUCUGAAAUUUUGAUAACUUUGGUGGAUGUUGCAUGCUGGGAACACUGAGCUUUGAUAUCUAAUUGUUGUAGUGCUAUUGCUGCUUAGUUUUAAGUGUAAAUGGGGAAACAAUAUUCUUAUAUUCAUGCUAUCAUUUUCUUACAUGUGCUUUUUCUUACAUGCAUUCAUUUUUGUUGUCAAGUGGAACCUGUACUCAUGUAAUCUAUUCCAUG